GGCCACGAGGACACGAACCGCACAACGCCGAGGGACGGUUCACUAUAUCAGGUAUCGGAAGUAUCGGUGACUUCAACGGGCUGAUCGGAAAGAAGGGUUGCGCUACGCUCGAAGUGAUCGAAUUGAGCUGAGGGUGACGAGUUCCGGUUUCGGGAGGAUUGAAGGAUCUAUCUGUCGUUUGCAUCGACACAGCGAUCAAGACGUAAUCAAGGCGGAGACGUCGAAAAUGCUUACACUGAGUACACUGAUAAUAUUUGCUAUGCAUACGCAUGCUAAACAAUCGGACGCAUGCAAGAGGCACGCAAUUGCGUGCAGAUUUCCUUCAACAAUACGAAGAAAUUGUAUGAUAUAUAUCGGCGAUAUCACUUGUCGAUAUGAAAGACGCAAUAUCUUUUCCUGUGUACAAAAUACAGUGGAUUUUUUCGUAUUCCUUGGUAAUUUACGAAUUUUGUAACUAAUCGAUUUUGUAAAUAAACAAUCUUGUAAGUUUUUAAUAUUGCUAAAUUCGAAAAAUGUUCAAACACAUAAUAUUGCCGUAUUUUUUGUUUGAUAUAGCUAAAUAAUAAGAUAAGUGUAGUAAUUAAAAUAGGUAUAAAUACAUGUUAAUGAAUUUCAUAAUUAAGUUAUCUUCAGAAAUCUGGAUGUCAACAGCGCAUUAUUUCAAUUAAUUAGUAUGUAUUUGAAGUAAGAUUUUUAUUGCCACUCCGCAACAAAUGAUAAGCAAAACUAAAGCAUCCAUUCUUACAGCAAUGCAGUUCUCAUGCUGUCCGUUCUACUUUAUUGUGCAACGCGAGCGUUGUAAUUUUGUCUAAUUACCGCAGCAAGAAGUAAUUUGCAAUAAACGCUUCUGAGGAUUAAUUAA